GACGAACGCUGGCGGCGUGCUUAACACAUGCAAGUCGAGCGGUAAGGCCCUUUCGGGGGUACACGAGCGGCGAACGGGUGAGUAACACGUGGGUGACCUGCCCUCAGCUCUGGGAUAAGCCUGGGAAACCGGGUCUAAUACUGGAUAUGACUCCAUGACGCAUGUUGUGGGGUGGAAAGCCUUGUGCGGCUGAGGAUGGGGCCCGCGGCCUAUCAGCUUGUUGGUGGGGUGANGGCCUACCAAGGCGACGACGGGUAGCCGGCCUGAGAGGGCGACCGGCCACACUGGGACUGAG
rnacentral:rRNA from 1 species